rnacentral:rRNA from 1 species
UACGAAGGGGGCUAGCGUUGUUCGGAAUUACUGGGCGUAAAGGGCGCGUAGGCGGCGUGUCAAGUCAGGCGUGAAAGCCCCGGGCUCAACCUGGGAACCGCGCUUGAGACUGGCAUGCUCGAGUUCGGGAGAGGAUGGUGGAAUUCCCAGUGUAGAGGUGAAAUUCGUAGAUAUUGGGAAGAACACCGAUGGCGAAGGCAGCCAUCUGGACCGCCACUGACGCUGAGGCGCGAAAGCGUGGGGAGCAAACAGG